rnacentral:rRNA from 1 species
UACGUAGGGGGCAAGCGUUGUCCGGAAUUAUUGGGCGUAAAGAGCGUGUAGGCGGUCCGGUAAGUCAGCUGUGAAAGUCAAGGGCUCAACCCUUGAAAGCCGGUUGAUACUGUCGGGCUAGAGUCCGGAAGAGGCGAGUGGAAUUCCCGGUGUAGCGGUGAAAUGCGCAGAUAUCGGGAGGAACACCAAUGGCGAAGGCAGCUCGCUGGGACGGUACUGACGCUGAGACGCGAAAGCGUGGGGAGCAAACAGGA